rnacentral:lncRNA from 1 species
GAGCCCUAAAAGUAUGACUGAAACCCUUUCCUUCUGUCUGAAGGGAAGCUGGUUAACCACCCAUGCCCACUGUAUGCCUUGGCUUGGGCAACCAGUAGCAUUGUGGCUGCUGGCUGUGACCGGAAGACUGUGGCCUGUGGAAAGGAAGGGCACAUGCUGCAGACUUUUGAUUACAGCCAGGACCCGCAGGAGCGGGAGUUCAGCAAGGCUGCAGCGAGUCCUGGGGGCCAGUCUGUUGUCCUGAGAAGUUAUGACAACUGCGGUGAUCAACUGGAGUCCUCGAAGAAGCAUCUGGGUAGAGGCGAAGCCCAAGGAGAUUGCCAACUUACACACCGUCACUGCCUUGGCCUGGAAGCGGGCGGGAUGCCUCAGGACUCUGCACAGGCGCACUCUGUGGUGCAGUGGAACAGUCUGACUGCUGCCUCCGAAGGAGCAUUUACAGGAAUAAGUUUGAGCUGACCUGUGUGGGACCCAGGCAGUUCUAGAUGCUGGGACAUCUAUGACCCAAGUGCAGCAGAUUCAGCAAGUGGUGAGGCCUGCUUCCUGGCUCACAGACCGCUGUCUUGCUGUGUCCUCACAUGGCAGAAAGGCCAGCAGCUCUCUGGGGUUGUUUAUAAGGGCUCCCAUGCCAUUCAUGAGGGCUCUGCCUCUUGACAUCAUUACCUUCUGAAGGUCCCAUCCCUAAUACCUGCUGUUGCAGGACUAAUCAAUUCUGGGGGGACAUAAACAUUUCAUUCAUAAUGAUGGGUCUAUAUUUGAUUUUGCUGCUUAAUCUUGCAGCCUGACCUUUCAAGGCUCCUGAGGGGAUACCUGAGGUCUCUCCACUCAGGCUGGACCCUGUGCCAUGGGGCUGGGCACUGUGCUCCUUCAAGACCUCCUUGCCCUCAGCAGCAGCUCUGUUGGGCCUCGUGGAAUUUCACAGUGCAUGCUGCUUCAAGAGCAGAUAGGCCCUGUGGAUUCCUAGGACAGCUAGAUGCCCGCUUCUUCCCCUUCCUGCCUAACAAGCCCCUGCUUUCCAAACAGCCCUGAUCUCUGAUCUCUCCUUCCAUAGCUCACCAAGACUGCACCUCUCCCUUUUUCUUUGUGGUGAUAAGGAAAUAAUGCACAACAGGGCAGGCCUUUGUCUGUUUGCCAAGCCUCUCUCCCACCAUGUUUUUGCCAUAAAAUGUUCUGUUCAAGCAAUGUAACUGUUUGAGCUGCAUGGUGUUCCUUCCUAAUGUUUCAAGAAUAUUCUGUUAACUCUACCCUUCUGCUUUUGUGAGCAUGCUCACCUGGUAUGUAGGCCCACCCCUCUACUCUGUAGGUCUUUAUAUAAGGUUGCUUCCAUUUCUGUUCGUGCCUCAGACUAUGGAGUAUGAACUCCUCUGAGCCUGCCAUUGUAAUAAUAAACUUGGUUCUCUCCAUCUUUCUGAGUGCCACCCUUGGUUUCUUCUCCUCUGGGGACCUUAGGAUAGCUGUAACAUUUGGCUGUAAUGCUGAGCUGUCACACUUCACUAUAAUAGUCUGGGGAUUGAAUCCAGGGCUUUUGCACUGAGCUAUAUCCCAUCUUUUCUUAAUGCUUUGUUUGUUUGUUUUAAAUUUUAUGACAGGGUCUUGCUAGUCAUUAAGUUGCCCAGGCUGGGGCUAGAACUUGUAAUCCUCCUGCCUCAGCCUCCUGAGUGCUGGGAUUACAGGUGUGGGGCACCAUGCCCUGCUGUCUCAAAACAUCUUUACAUAGCAUUUUUUUUUUUGGUACUGGGGAUUGAACUCAGGUCCUUGCACUUGUGAGACUGGAGGCAGAACCACUGAGCUAAAUCCCCGGCCCUCAAAACAUCUUUCGUGAGGGUGUAUAUCUGAAAAAUCACCCGAAUGAUUCAGAUGAAAAGGCCCCAGUGAGGUGCUCAGAAAUCAUGCUGUAUCCAAAAGUGAACAGAGCAGAAUCAGGUGGGUCACGGUGGUAUCUGCACUCUGUGGGGGCCAUGGGGACCCAACGCAGAGCACAGGGACCACUGCCCAGGGUGGGGGUGGAUGCUCCUGUGCCCCAGAUUCUGCCUGUGGCUCAGGGCAGUGUCAAUCGGCUCACUGUCUAUGGGGGAUUUGGCAUCUCCAUGGCUAGCCGGAGGAGGGACUUGGACCUCCCUGGAGAGUUGCAUGCGUUUGAAGUCCGAGUUGAGUUCCCAGUGUGGCCACUCACCAGCAACUCACUUAACUCCUUUGUGCCUCAGUUUGCUUAUCUGUGGAAAGAGAUCGCUUCAACAAUUCUUUCACAUGGUGGGAUUGGUUACUUCUUCUCUCUGUGCUCCCGAUUUCUCCAAUCCUCAGUGCCUGACCAAACUGUUUAGAAUAAUCUGGGGGUGGGGGUGAAGCUUCCUCACAAGAAGUUCUCAGCCAUCUCUUCAAAGGGAAGCUCUUCUGCAGCCUCCCCAUCUCCACCUUGGAAAUGUGCUCUGUGUACAUCUCUGUGAUUGCACUCACCAUGGUAUCUUAAUCUUUUAAAUGAUUUUUUAAAUUGUUAAAGUGAUAUAUGUUUGUUUAAAACAUUCAAGCAAUAUAGAGAACAAGUAAGAAAUAACGGUCCUCCUCUUUCUUUGCCAGCCCAGCACUACCCCACAGGGAAUCAUUUUAAUUUUCUUGUCUUCUUCCAAAAAAUAGUCUAUGCAUGGGCAAGCACGUGCACAUGCACGCACGCAUGCACACACACACUCACACACACACACACACUCAUGCAUGCACACCUCACAUACUCUUUUUGUUUUUCCACAGAGGGACCCUAGUCCCAUACACUGCUGUUUCUACUCUUCUUCCGCCCAUAUGUGGAAAGACCCCAGUUUCCAGCUCAGUCCGCUCCUGCAGGGCCCCAAGUCUGGUGCAGUCAUUGUUGUCCUGGUCUGUUCUCACCCCAAGUAGGGAGGCCGGGCUGCCUUUUGCUCUUGUCAGUGUCCCCAGCACCGGCCCCUAUCCUGGGCCUGCUCUAAAAGCAUGGAACUGAAUUCCAGUGCCCAACCCAGGAGGUUAUCAGUGGAGAAGGGGUCCCCCCAUUGGUUUCUGCCUCCCUUGGGCUCCACUACCAGGCUGACCCCCAUCCCCCACCCCAGCUUACCUCCCACUUCUAUGUCUCAGGCCCCCAGGUCCCCAUGGAAGUGUGGUCUCAGAAGAGCCCUCCUAUGGGUUGCCCUUGGGCCCCUUCCACACCUUCAGGGAGGAGGGAGGAGGCUGCUGAGUGCCUCCCUGGAGCCAGCUGGGCCCAGGGAUGGCUCCCCUGAGCAUGAAUAUUUUAUUCUCCUGCAGCAAGCAAGGCUGGAGUAGUCUGUGCCACACUGCCGCAAGCUGGCAAGGAGCUCAGGGUGUGGGGAUGGUGCAUGGGCUGAGGUUUCUCAUCCCCUCCAAGCCACUGCAGCAGUCAGGUCCCUCAGCUGAGCAGCGGGCUGCUCCCGGGCUGGAUGAGCAUGGCUGUCACCAGUCCCACAGUGUUCCUGCUUGCUGGCACCUUUGGGUGCUCCCAAAUGUCUCCUUAGAAUUCUGCUUUGUCAUUUGAGCCAUGUCUCUGCUUCCACCCCAGUCACUGCAAAGAAGGGGCUCAUGUCUGAGGGUCUCUCACCCUGCCUCCAGGUUGUGGGAACAGGAAAUGAGACCCAGGAUGAUGCAGGGACUGACUACAGUCACCCUGGGUGGCAGGCGGGAAAGCUCAGGGUCCCCCCCUCCCAGGAAGGGGCUUGUCCACCACUGACCUCACCCAGAAAGGUUAUGUUGCUCCCCACUGCAGCCAGCACCCGUCCCAAGCCCAGGAUGACCAUGAAAAUGGCUAAAACUUCAUAAAAUUUUCUGUACACCAGGUCUUCUUUGAGACACUUUAUAUACCAGUGUAUAUUCAUUUAAUAACUUGACAACUCCAUAAAGUAUAUUCCUUAUUUUACAGAGGAGAAAACUGAGGCCCAGAGCGGUUAAGUAAUGGGCCCAAGGUCACACAGCAAAUGACAGAGCUGAGAUUCAAACCUAUGCCAUCUGGCUUCAAAGUUGAUGGCCUUAAUCUUUGCACCAUCCUGCCGCUCAAAAUAACAAGUUCUGUUGGCCUCUGCCAAAAACAGUUCACAGACACUAUUUCGCUUAAUCCUUAUUACAGCUGUGUGAAAAAGAGAAUAUUCUCAUGGACCCUGUUUUGUAGAUGAGGCCAUUGAGGCUUGGACAGGAUGGUUAAGCUGGUGAUAGCCCCUCAGCUGGGGAGUGGAGUCAGGGCUUGACCCAAAUCUGGAGAUCCCAAGGCCCUCCCGUGGGUCCCUCCCAGGGCCAGGCUAGGACCAGCCUUGAGUUCACGAGCAUUCCCGGCCUGGGCAAGCAAGGCUGGGUCCUUAGGUCGGCAUAAGGCUGCACCAAAGGCUCCUCAGAAGCCAGAGGGAACUUCACGGCCACACGCUGGCUUCUCCCUUGGUUCAGAUGUCACCAGCAGGCUGUGCUGAACACCACAAGGCUUGAUGGGAUAAAGGCAUGGUCAGUGUUGGCCAGGGUCCAAGACCAGGUGGGCCCGGGGCUCUGGAGCUGGCAGAUCUGGGAGAUCUGGAGCUGGAAAUACUUUUUUGGAAUGCUGGGGAUGGAACCCAGGACCUCACAACUGCUGGGUGGGUGCUCUGCCACUGAGCUAUACCCCCAGCCUGGGGAAAUUAUUUUUAAUAACAUAUUUAACCUGAUAUAGCUAAAAUGCCAUUUUGAUAUCUGAUUGAUAUAAAAAUUAUUUAACAUUUCCCCCAGUAAGUCUUUGAGAUCUGAUGUGUAUUUUACUCUUGGAGCCCAGCAAGGUGGAGGAGCCACAGUUCAAGCGAUGGCAGCCACAUGUAGUGAGCGCAUGGUGCAGUGUAGGAAAACACUGUCCUCUGCCUUUUCUGAAGUCCUUAGCUGGACCCUCCCCUGUAAUAAGAGACAAGAGAAAAACACAGUGCUGUUUCUCAACACCAAUGCUUCUUGUAUCCAUGAGGGCUACCCAGAACAAAGAACAAGUCUCUAAGAGGUGGCUUGGAAUUUAGGGCGUAAGUACCACUGCCUGCUGAUGCUUGAUUAUAGGGUGAUGACCAGGUAAACAAGGUAAUAAGGUUUGCUAAGCCCAUUUAUCCAUGUCAUCUCUAUUGGUAAGAUUUUCUUGUGAUAUAGUCUUUUUUUCCUGUUACAGACAGGAAACCACUGGCGAUUAUAGUGAGGAAGAGGACACAGAUUCUCUUCUUGACCAAAAUUUACUCUGGAUCCUCUGGGCGAUCUUUUUUUGUACCAAGGAUUGAACUCAAGACCUUCCAAGACAGGCACAGCACCACUGAGCUCAAGUCCCCAGCCCUGGGCCAUCUUGUCUACCAGGUCCUGGUUGUUGGGCUUCCCAUUCAUCUUUGCAUUGCCUAGUGUUAGCAAAAUGCCUGCUAAAUUGGUUUAGCCAGGACUCCCCUCUUCAUAGCUGAACACACUGCCCAUCCCCACCAUCCUUAGGUGUAUUGAUCCCCAUAGUCACCCACAGCAAGGACAGAGCCGUCAGGUGUCCCCAACCCCAGGAGCAAGGACACUACAACUAGAGUAAUGAGGCCCAAUGGGUUGGUUGCUCACCCCACAGUAGAUGACAUUAGGAGCGAGAGGAAUAUUCUUUCUUUAGGAUCCAGUUUACUUUUCCUGUGACACAUUCUUAGAUCUGUGAACCACAUCUGAGGGAUGCAGUCAUCAUUUUUUGUUUGUUUGUCUGUUUAACAAAUAUGACUUCUUGUCUUCCUUGUGUCAGGGACUCUGUGAGUCACAGGAAAUACACAGGUGAGUAAGACUUGGCUCAUCCUUAGGAUCAACCACUGUGGACAAAUGGCAUCCAACAAUGUCACCAUCUCCAUCAUCGCCACCAUCAUCACCAUAACCAGGAUCAUGAAUUGCUGGACACCCACUAUAAGCCAGCUCUAGGGCUAAGGAGUUAAGUAAAUUCUAUUUUUGAAACAUGCUGAUAAUGUGGAACUACAAAUUCAUCCUUCAGGGACAAAUGUCAGAGACCUCAGGUUGCCCAGGAUUGGGCUCAGUCUGCACAGAGAGAGUGGUUUGGUUCCUGUCCCUCCACACAGGGCUUCUGUGGAGAGCAUCAGUACUGCCUGUCAGACUCCUCCCUGUCCUACGAGGCUAAGGCCUGUGGCACAGCCAGCUCUGUUCACAGUCACUUCCUGCCCUCUCUCCCAGUGCCCCACUGAUCUAAGUAGCCAGAUCCCACCAUAGAUGGGACUCCUGAUGGUCACUUGUAGGAACAUAUGUGAACAUGCAUGUGUGUCUUCCCUGAGCAAACCAGAGCAAGAGCUUUUGCACACUCCCACCACCUCAGCCCCUAUGACCCUCACAUGGGGUCAUAAACUGCACUUCUGUCAGCUGCUACAGAUGAACCUCCUCGGUUUCCAUAGGCCCACCUGCCUUCCCACUCAUGCCAAGACCCCGCUCCUGUCACCCAUGCAAGCAGUUGUUCUGCAUCAGCACAAGUUUCUGCUCUAGAGGAACAUCCUCCAAAACCUACACAUAGAACAUGCUCCCUCAGAUCUAAACACUGCUUCUUUCUUGAUCCUGUCUCCCUCUUCAACUACUUUCCCCUUUCUCUCUAUAAUGAAACUCUUCAAGAGUUAUCUGUACUCCCUGUUACCAAAUCUUCACCUUCCAUUUCCUUUGAGCCCUGUAAUCAGGCUGAUGCCUGCUCUGUUCUGAGUGGUUUCAAGCUUGCUGAUGGCCUCCAUGGUGCCAAGGUUCCCAGGCCUUGCUGAAUUGGACACAGCAAGAGUACUUGAUGCAGUUCAUUUCUCCCUCCUCUCUCAAACAGUUUUCCUUUGCUUUCCUUGUGCUGGGGAUUGAACUCAGCACCUGGUGCAUGCUAAGCAUAGCACUCUACUGAGCUACAAUGCUACUGCCAAAACAGGUGUUUUGUUUCAGUUUUUGUUUUUCUUUACUGGGGUUUGAACCCAGGGUCUUUGCACUGAGCUGCAUCCCUAGUCCUUUUUUAUUUUUAUUUUGAGAGAGGGACUCACUAAGUCACCAAGUUGCCUAGGCUAAGCUUGUUGCUUGCACUGUGAUCUUCCUGCCUCUUCCUCCCAGAGUUCUGGGAUUAUAGGCAUAUACCACCAUGUCCAGCUCUUCAUUUGACUUUCAAGAUAACACUCAAUCUGAGUUUUCUCUGCCUUGUAGGGCAUUCCUUCCUGGUGUCUUCUGCUGAUUUCCCCCUCAUCUUUCAGUCUUCAAAACCGGGAACAGGUACUAUCUGCCAAGUCCCGUCCACCAUCUGGCCCUGCCACUUCUAUAAACACAAGUUGUCAGAACGAGGUCAUUUGUUUUCCUGGUCUGUGUCAGCUCAACAGAACUGAAUAGAUGAAUGGUCUGAAAGCUGAAAAUACUUCUCUCUGGUCCUGUCCAGGAAAGGUCUAAAUAGUGGAGUGCCCCAGGCUCAGGCCUUGUCUUCUCAAACCACCUUGGGCCCCUCAGGUGACCUCAUCCAGACCAGGUCCCAGGCAUCAACCAGAGGAUGGCAUGUGUCCCUUCACGUCUGCAGCCCAGGUGUCUUUUCUGAAUUCCCAACCACAUACUGCACAUAUAUCCAGCUCCCUCAGACACAUUGAGAACUUAACAGUGCUGGGCACUCAGCCCCACCCCCCCUUCCAGCAGGAAAAAACCCUGUUUCUCCUGCAUGGUUCCUACAUCUCAGCAAGUGGCAGG